AUGAUGAUGAAUCAAACAAUCAAGACUGAAUGCCAAGAAGCAUAUUGAUGAAGGGAUUGCAUAGACAAGCCAAGACGAGCUCAAGAGUUCUAGCUUUUUAAGACCCCAGACGUAGGUCGUUAGGUAGAACCAAUGUAAGAGCAACGUUUAAUAUCUCGUCUUUUGGCUCAACAUAGGUCAUCAUAAAUAUGCAUAAAAUAAUUUUAU
rnacentral:lncRNA from 1 species